rnacentral:rRNA from 1 species
UACGGAGGGUGCGAGCGUUAUCCGGAAUCACUGGGCGUAAAGGGCGCGUAGGCGGUCUGUUGAGUCCGUUGUCAAAUGUCGAGGCUCAACCUCGGAACGGCAGUGGGUACUGGCAGGCUGGACGGCUGGAGAGGCGAGUGGAAUUACCAGUGUAGCGGUGGAAUGCGUAGAUACUGGUAGGAACACCCAUGGCGAAGGCAGCUCGCUGGACAGCUCGUGACGCUGAGGCGCGAAAGUGUGGGGAGCGAACCGG